AGGCAGCAGUGGGGGAAUAUUGCACAAUGGGCGCAAGCCUGAUGCAGCCAUGCCGCGUGUGUGAAGAAGGCCUUCGGGUUGUAAAGCACUUUCAGUCGUGAGGAAGGUGGUAGUGUUAAUAGCACUAUCAUUUGACGUUAGCGACAGAAGAAAGCACCGGCUAACUCCGUGCCAGCAGCCGCGGUAAUACGGAGGGUGCGAGCGUUAAUCGGAAUUACUGGGCGUAAAGCGCAUGCAGGUGGUUUGUUAAGUUCAGAUGUGAAAGACCCGGGGCUCAACCUCGGAAUAGCAUUUGAAACUAGGCAGACUAGAGUACUGUAGAGGGGGGUAGGAAUUUCAGGUGUAGCGGUGAAAUGCGUAGAGAUCUGAAGGAAUACCGGUGGCGAAGGCGGCCCCCUCGGACAGAUACUGACACUCAGAUGCGAAAGCGUGGGGAGCAAACAGGAUUAGAUACCCUGGUAG
rnacentral:rRNA from 1 species